rnacentral:rRNA from 1 species
GAUGAACGCUGGCGGCGUGCCUAAUACAUGCAAGUCGAGCGAAUGGAUUAAGAGCUUGCUCUUAUGAAGUUAGCGGCGGACGGGUGAGUAACACGUGGGUAACCUGCCCAUAAGACUGGGAUAACUCCGGGAAACCGGGGCUAAUACCGGAUAACAUUUUGAACCGCAUGGUUCGCAAUUGCAUGGCGGCUUCGGCUGUCACUUAUGGAUGGACCCGCGUCGCAUUAGCUAGUUGGUGAGGUAACGGCUCACCAAGGCAACGAUGCGUAGCCGACCUGAGAGGGUGAUCGGCCACACUGGGACUGAGACACGGCCCAGACUCCUACGGGAGGCAGCAGUAGGGAAUCUUCCGCAAUGGACGAAAGUCUGACGGAGCAACGCCGCGUGAGUGAUGAAGGCUUUCGGGUCGUAAAGCUCUGUUGUUAGGGAAGAACAAGUGCUAGUUGAAUAAGCUGGCACCUUGACGGUACCUAACCAGAAAGCCACGGCUAACUACGUGCCAGCCGCCGCAGUAA